rnacentral:rRNA from 2 species
GGCCCCGACCAUAGCGGCUAGGAAACACCCGGACUCGUCAGAUCCCGGAAGUUAAGCUAGCCGCGUUAGGUAGGGCUGUGAGAUCCGCGAGGUCUCGCAGCCCACCUAAGUCGGGGUCC